AUGGUGGCCAGGCCACAGCCACCCGGACGUUUGCGAGCGCCGAAGGUGGGCCUGGAGGCGGGGACCUGGCCCUGCGGGGCCGGUGCGUGCGGGGCCCGGCUGAGCCGCCGGCUCCACCGGCAAGGAACCGGGCUCCCGCCUUCCCUGCCACACCGGGAGUGUGUGAGGGGGGACCCUCGGCCGGCAGGGGGCGCUCUCGGCCACUCCAUCCGCCCGGUCACCGCGGGAUCCCGCUGCUCCAGCCCGCCGGUGCCGCCGUCCCGCCUCCUCCCUCAGCCCAGCUCUGCCUCCGCCUUCGCUCCCCGACCCCUCCCUUCUCCCUCUCAGUCCCGCAGGGAAGCUGGGCUGGGCGAGAGGGUGUCUCCUGGGUCCACCGUGGAAGCCCGAGGCGCGGGUGCGGAGCCAGCCCAGGGCUGCCGGCGUGAGCUGCAGGGCUGGCCUGGUGCUCAUCCUCUGCCCGGGGCGCGGGAAAGGCGAGGGACGCUGUGCUGGAUCUGUGUGCUCAGUGGCCACGCGUCGGCCUCAGGAACGGGAACGAGGCGAGAGACACAGAUGUGGGUGAUUUCCCUGUGGAAGCUGUACCCGAGGCCGUGGGAGUGGAGGGCACUGGGCUGCGAAUGGAGACAGGAUGCCCCGAGGGCCCGGGAGCGGGAGGUGGAGGGGGUCCCAGACGGCAGGGGCUCGGAGUGGGAGGCAGCGGGACUGAGAGAGCCGCGCCAGGGCCGCAGGGGUGCGCAGGGAGCUUCCUGCCCUUUGCACCUCAGGCUCCGGGAGCUGAUUUGUUUCACCUUGGGCAGGUGCAGGAUCUGCGCUUGCAGCCACCUUACUUCGUGGGCUGUACCUGAGGUGACAGGCAGGGUCUUCUCUGAUGAAGUUACCCACACGAGUCACCACGGGAUGACGGUGAGCAGGUGCCACGGAAGGUGUGUAAAAAUCGCUCCAGUGGUGAAUUGGAAACUUGCAGUGCCAGGAAGUGCUUCCACAGGCUUAAUGCAUCUCUGCUCCUUCUUUUUUCAGAAAAAUUCAAAGGUAAGCAGAACUGCUCCUUUUCACCCUCUGUGUGCAGCUCAUCACAGAAGUGCAGCCAUAACUGAGUCACUUGUCAAUCUUUUUCCUCCCAGUUACAGUGUUUAGAUGGGGGAUGCUGAGAGAGAAGCCGGCUUGCUGGGAGGUGCGAGCCCAGAGCACACGCUCCACCUAGACUGUGGGCAGUGCCCCACCAUGAGGAGCUCAGCAGUUUCUUCACGUGGUGUUUUCCACCAUGCAAAAACAUCCAAGAUCUAUUGUUUAUGUAGCUUGUACUUAGGGUCAGGCCCCGGUUCAAUUCCUAACAUUGACAUUUUGUAUUUGUGUGACUAAUACACGUGUUAUUAAGAAAGUUACUACUGUCUUUAAGAUGCAGUUUCCUCAUCUGUGAAAUGGAAUAUUUGUGUAUUCCAUAUGUUAUAUAAUAUUACUGCCUGCUUAACCUUGGCCUAGUGUUUGAAGGACACAAAUCCUGAGUCCAGCACAGAGCAGGUGCUUGAUGAAUACCCCAGACACGGAGGAAGGCAGCAUCUGGAUUCCAAGUUCUUUUCCUGUAUAUACAUUUAUAUCUCUCUGAAUAGGCAUCUGCGCGUGUUUCUUUUAUUAUAGACAGGUUGUCUGAUCUCAAUCCGUUAGAGAUGGGGUAGCCUUAGGGACCCUCUGGUCCCACAUCUCACUGUACAGGGGAUGCAGGAUUUGCCAAGGUCCUACCCAUUAGUGAGUAGCAGAGCCUGGAUGAGUUCCUCGGAUCAGGAGGAGGCGGUGUGCUCCUGUCCUCCUGUGAGAUGAAGCCAUUCUUAAUCCCAGCCUCGGAUCAGGAGGAGGGGCUGUGCUCCUGUUCUCCUGUGAGAUGAAGCUGUGCUCAACCCCGGCCUCGGAUCAGGAGGAGGGGCUGUGCUCCUGUCCUCCUGUGAGAUGAGGCCAUGCUCAAUCCCAGGACAGGUGCAGGCGAUUGCUUUCACCUUCUAACUUUAGAAUCUGGAGAGUCUGCAUAGCUCCUACUUUCGAAGCUGCCUCAGAGAGUCUUUGUUAUUGCAAAAUGCGUGUGGGCAGGCUGGACCAGGCAGUGGAUCUUGUUGUUUUGUUAGGGAGAAAGGAAAACUGAAGUUCCAUCACCUGCCAGUUAGUCUUGGUCUACCUCCAACCCAAACUUGGGCUCAGUGAAGCAGAUUAAUAAAGCAAUGGGGCAUCUCUGGCUGCUGCGAGCACCAUGAAUAUGCAUGCAGUGCAGGCCACCGGCUGGAACGCUUUUCCCACCCUGGAAUUCGCCAGUCACGUUUCUACUCUCUGGGUUUCUUUCUAAGUUGAAAGAUUCUGGAAUUGUGGAGCUGGAAGGGAUAUUAGUGAAGACCAUCUGGUCCAGUGUCCUCAUUUUACAGAUGAGCUAACUGAGGCCAGAGGGGAAGGGCCACUCCAGGGCACACUGCGAAUGGCUCACAAACCCAGGACCAGGCCAGAUCUCGCAGCUCUUGCUCCAGAGGAUGCUUAGUGCCUGCAGUGCUUAGGGCACUCAUUUUUUUUGCUGAAUUUUGUUUAUUGAGACCAUAUGGAAAGCGAGUUGAGGCUGAAGUUACAUGCAUUCAGGACCAAGAGAAAGCAAUUGAUCACAAGAUCCUUCUGUGUUGGGCCACUGAGCAAAUCGUGGGGUCACCCUCUCUCUUAGCAGUACAGGCUAUGUCGAUAUGAUGAUAUCACCUUAGAGCUAAUGAAAUGCAUUCCUGAGAAAUAAAAUGAUCGUUUCUGUUUUCUGCAGAGCAAUUCCAAAUGAGAGAAGCAAUAACACUUUUUAUGACCUAUUCAAAUCACUCUCAUUUCACUAAACAACCUUCACACCUGUGGCAGUUCUUGCUUCCCUCGCAGGGGAACUACCCUGAUGUCGGAGAAAACUAUCCUUGAGUGAGGCCUGACACUGUGCCUGUGAUGAUGUGAGCCAUCUGCAAAAUUCACCGUGGAGGACAGAAUGCCACUUAGGCUAAAGCAGGAGGAAGGGGCCUAUAAUUCUCGUCAUCUUUUGUUUGAAUGCAAACGAAACUACAGCCCAGGAAAUAAAUUCAAUGUACUUUGACAAAACAUGGGUAAUCUUACCAGCAUAGUCUCACGUGGAGAAAGGUGACCACCUAAACUAAGAAUCAACAAAAAUCAAACAAAAUGAAACAUGUUGUUUAGAAAUGCAUUCAUUUGUGAUAAAACUGUUUUUAAAAAGCAAGAACAUGAUAGACACCCAAUUUGGGAUAGUGGCCAUGUUUAGAGGGCUGCAGGGGGGAUGCUGUGUAGGAGAGGCACAGAAAAUUGGUGUUGUUUGUAAAUUCGGGGGUGAGUUAAAAAAGUAGGGAAGAAGGAAGAUACCAAACCAACUUCUGGACAGAACUUCUGACUUUGUAGCAGCCUUGCAGUCUUUAUUAAGCAAGAUGCGUUAUGCCAAUGAUUUCAGAUAAUUUACUAGCAAGAGGAUACUCGAUUCUAUCUUGUUUACGAAUGAAAACUCCAAAAUAAAUGAGGCUCUGUGCCGCGGCACCUCGUUAUUUCUUGUUCUGCAGUGA
ensembl:lincRNA